AAUCCAAGGAUAAAAUUCCUCUUAAUUAAACAAAAUUUUAGUUUGCUGCCCGGGCUUAUGGAAAUCAGUUUCUCACGAUGGCUGCCAGAACGAGAAUGAAAAAGCUAGCUCGUAACGGAAGAAAAAGAUAUGUGACAUUUCGCUGAGAGAAUAAUACUAACAUGAGCCCCGUAGGAAAUGGAAAUUCCUUGCGUGUGCGAACUCCUCGAAGGCGACGGCGACGAAGGAGUGAUCUGGUCGGAACACUUUCAGAAUUCAAAUUGGGAUAAAUGGGCCUUCCUUUACGAUUGACAUCGAUUGAUACUAGCAGCUGAUCCUCCUUCUUUAUCGCGUUGAUGACGAUUGAGUGGAUACAUAUUUUAAAAAAUAGAGAAAACGAAAGAUAUAAGUAAAAGUAACCUGUUUUGCCAAAAAAUCUCAUUUUAAAAUUGACCUUCGUUCUGGAAUAGAUGCGCAAGAAGCUAGAUUUUUUAGAAAAAAUCUAAUUUUAAAUUUAUUUCUAAAUUUUUUGUUUGAAAGUGACGGGUGAAAACCCACCUCGUCACAGCAGGUAUUGAUUUUUCAUGAUUCACUCUU